AUGCCAUGAUGAGGACAUUUCUGCAACAGCUCCUUAAAUUGCUCUCAUGCAUCAUAAAUAUAUUCUUCGUCAAAUUGCUGAAACGUACUGAUUUCAUUUCUAAACUU
rfam:Gossypium raimondii Chr06_contig_86, whole genome shotgun sequence.